AUUAAAUUGGAAGCCCAAAAUAAUUAAAUAGAGGAGAAAAAAUCAACAAUUUUCAUCUCAUAAGCAAUUGCUCGGAAGUAUAUCAAUGUUGGACUCAUUUUGAAGCUCGUAUUUUAAAACAACGUAUUAUAAUUUUUAUUUCAUCAAAACAUUAUUUUACAAGGGGGAAAUUCUUGAUAAUAGCUAUCUACCCCAAAAGAAAAACAAAAGAGAAAAUAAAUAAAUAAAUAAAAAAAAAACUUUGCAGCAUUCCUCUUUCUUCAUUUCACCACGCCACAAUCUGAUUUCUUCUUCCACUUUUUCUUUAAUGGGCUCCACAUAUAUUUUUUUUUGGACUACAUCUCAAUCUCUUAUUCUCCCUAAACCUACCCGCUCCCUCUUUCUUUCCUAUCUUCUUCUUUCUUCCGCCUCCUUUGUCAUCUUCUUCUUUCUUUUUUUUUAUCCUUCAUCGUGCUCCCCACCUCCCCUCUCUCUUUCAUCCUCACCCACGUUACCCGCUCCUCUCCACUUCCGCUUGUCCCCCAUUCCUUCGUCUCUCUCUUACGCUCCUCUCUUUUCUUAAACCAAACGAAGUCCUAUAAAAUCUGGGGGAAGUUAGGCAAAUGAGGAAGAAAAAACAGAUCGAGAAAAGGGGGGAGAUUCAACACUGAUCGGACACGGACGGGUGAUGCAUGAGUAUUUUCUAAAAGUCUUGGGUUCUCUUUCAUUUUCAAAAUCGGGUCUUGCAUUUUGUUUCAAAUCAGAGAAUACUCUCUGUUAUGAAAUUUGUGUCGAAAAAUUAAGUUUUUCGUGAUCCAAUCAACUUUCGUCGCCGCUCGGCAAAAGAACUUUAAAGUAUAACAAAGACAUUUUAAUUUUUUGACUCGAAGUUUCGAAUUCGUCAAUACGAGAGUAGAUUCGAGACUUGACGCCCCAUUCACUGCACCCACAAAAGGUAUGGAUUUGCAUUGGAGUACAAUGAAUGACGAAGAUCAAUGACAUCACAAAAACGAGGCUGAGAUUUAGACAUAGGAAAUUGUAUUCACUUCAUUUAGAUUAGGAAACACUUUAUGUUGUAUUCAUUUGACAUGUAAUAAACGUUACAUUACUUUUGUA